AUUGAACGCUGGCGGCAUGCCUUACACAUGCAAGUCGAACGGUAACAGGUCUUCGGAUGCUGACGAGUGGCGCACGGGUGAGUAAUACAUCGGAACGUGCCCAGACGUGGGGGAUAACGAGGCGAAAGCUUUGCUAAUACCGCAUACGAUCUAAGGAUGAAAGCAGGGGACCGCAAGGCCUUGCGCGCUUGGAGCGGCCGAUGGCAGAUUAGGUAGUUGGUGGGAUAAAAGCUUACCAAGCCGACGAUCUGUAGCUGGUCUGAGAGGACGACCAGCCACACUGGGACUGAGACACGGCCCAGACUCCUACGGGAGGCAGCAGUGGGGAAUUUUGGACAAUGGGCGAAAGCCUGAUCCAGCAAUGCCGCGUGCAGGAUGAAGGCCUUCGGGUUGUAAACUGCUUUUGUACGGAACGAAAAGGCUCUGGCUAAUACCUGGGGCACAUGACGGUACCGUAAGAAUAAGCACCGGCUAACUACGUG
rnacentral:rRNA from 1 species